UGGGUAACCUGCCUGUAAGACUGGGAUAACUCCGGGAAACCGGAGCUAAUACCGGAUAGUUCCUUGAACCGCAUGGUUCAAGGAUGAAAGACGGUUUCGGCUGUCACUUACAGAUGGACCCGCGGCGCAUUAGCUAGUUGGUGGGGUAAUGGCUCACCAAGGCGACGAUGCGUAGCCGACCUGAGAGGGUGAUCGGCCACACUGGGACUGAGACACGGCCCAGACUCCUACGGGAGGCAGCAGUAGGGAAUCUUCCGCAAUGGACGAAAGUCUGACGGAGCAACGCCGCGUGAGUGAUGAAGGUUUUCGGAUCGUAAAGCUCUGUUGUUAGGGAAGAACAAGUGCGAGAGUAACUGCUCGCACCUUGACGGUACCUAACCAGAAAGCCACGGCUAACUACGUGCCAGCAGCCGCGGUAAUACGUAGGUGGCAAGCGUUGUCCGGAAUUAUUGGGCGUAAAGGGCUCGCAGGCGGUUUCUUAAGUCUGAUGUGAAAGCCCCCGGCUCAACCGGGGAGGGUCAUUGGAAACUGGGGAAACUUGAGUGCAGAAGAGGAGAGUGGAAUUCCACGUGUAGCGGGUGAAAUGCGUAGAGAUGUGGAGGAACACCAGUGGCGAAGGCGACUCUCUGGUCUGUAACUGACGCUGAGGAGCGAAAGCGUGGGGAGCGAACAGGAUUAGAUACCCUGGUAGUCCACGCCGUAAACGAUGAGUGCUAAGUGUUAGGGGUUUCCGCCCUUAGUGCUGC
rnacentral:rRNA from 1 species